GUGGUGUCUUAACAGCAACAACAAUAAUAACAAUCCUAAUCCUAAUAUACUAAUUCAAAUACCAAUUCGAAGUUUGACUAUUGUGUAAUAUUAUAUGAAACUGUACUCUAGUCCGCCAAAGGAGCAGUCAAUCACCAUGUUGCUUUUUCGUUUAAAGCAGACUGUCCUUCAUUAACUCAUUCAGUAGUUCAGUACUACGUUUUUUCACAUUUCAAAUUUUAAUAGUCACAAUAGCCUGUCAUAUGCCUAUGACUGUAUGAGAAUGCUCAGUAGUGACACACGAAUUAAUACGUGUGGUCGAGGAGGCAUCGACCUUGUUCCGGGAAGUGAAGCAACUGUGUACCCUGUCUGUCCACUAUUUGUCCAAUAUUAAAGAUACUUGAGGAGCAUGCUCACAUGAUCAACACACAACUCCCACGCAGUCUGAUAUUUAAGUCGAGUCUUCUGCCAGCAGCACCAAGAACAUCACAGGAUGACCUGCAAUUCUAGCUGCACCAUUUCAGGUGAGAAGAUGAAACCGAGCGUUCUAUACCCGGUGGCGCUUUUCACGACGGGUUUGAUUGGUAAUAUCAUCGCUCUUUGUAUCAUUUUUCGACACAAAAGCAUCGCACCGGGCAAACGUGUUUCAGUUUUCUAUGUGUUGGUCUCAGGCUUGGCUUGGACGGACCUGCUGGGAAAAGUUUUACUGAGUCCAGUAGUAUUGGCAUGUUAUGCACUUUCCAAAUGUCUAUCGCAAAUCAGCAGACACUUGUGCAACACUUUUGGGUUGCUGAUGUCUUUCUUUGGACUGUGCCCCACACUAAUCCUACUGGCAAUUGCAGUGGAAUGUCUGCUCUCCGUUGGAUAUCCUUAUGUCUACAAUCGGCAAGUUACCCGGAGGAGAGCGCUGAUGUGCUUAUUCAGCAUCUACGCGUUCAGUUUUCUCUUCUGCGUCCUGCCCCUCUUCGGUUUCGGCGACUACCGGCAGUACCACCCCGGGACCUGGUGCUUUAUCAGACUGAAUGACACGAGACCCGCGAACAAGGCGUUUUCCUUGGUAUAUGCUACGCUCUUGACAUUGGCUAUCCUUGCAGUGGUUAUCUGCAAUAUGCUGGUCAAAAUCAACCUGAUGAAGAUGUACAAGCUUACCCGCAAAAGGUGCAUUUACAACGCCAGCGCGCGAACGAGAACCACCGCGUCUCCCCAGCAUUCCGAGGAGCUGGGUCACUUGGUCGUUCUCAUGCUGAUGACCUUGAGCUUUCUCAUUUGCUCCAUCCCUGUAACGGUCCGGGUUUACACUGGUGCCUUUUCUUCAUACGAAUGUGCACCGUGGGAGGAAGAGCAGCGGGACUUGUUGGCAAUGCGUUUCCUCUCGGUCAACUCCAUUGUGGAUCCUUGGGUUUUCAUCAUCUUGCGCACCUCCCUCUGCCGCAAACAGUUGCACAAGCUGUUUGAUAAACUAUGUAUGUCACGUACGCCACGGACGACUUCAGCGACACCAGAUCCCAACCCUUGCCACAUGCGUACCGGUAGUCUUGGAGACGGUGGUCACACCCCAAGCACCGUACAGGAUCGCCUGGAAUUAACUGCCUGGGAUGAUUUUCAAGGGCCGAAAUAGCGCGCAGAUAAAUUUCAAGAUGCAUGUGAAAAAAAACUGCUGCGCAGUGGGAUUACAGUCUUUCUAUUUCCUGACAAUGUGGCUGUAUUACUGCUUGUUAGCCUAUGUCGCGGUACGACAGAAUCACCGCCAUUUGUUUUGUAAAAGGACGAAGAAAGACUAACUGCUACCUAACUGUGUACAGUAGGCUAAUUCAACCACUAAAGACCAAUAUAGCUCUGUCUGCUUAGGAGCAUACCCAUCUUGCUAUUUUAACUCAAGGCGCGUGUUUUUAUUUUGUUUACUGACGACUUUAGGGUUAAGUUCAUAAUUCCAGCGAGAUUUCCAACCCCACAAGUCAUUAAAAUAUACAUUUAAGCCUUUAGCAAUCGCUUUUUAACCAGAGCGUCUUCCAUAAGUACGCACGUCAACGUUUAGGAAACGAGAAACGCUGAGGACUGUGUGACAACCAAUAGUAGAAAUUAAUACGUACAUUUACGACAAAUGUAAGUACCAUACUAGGGGCAAGAGGGAGGUUGAGAGCAUACUGGUGCUCAAUGUAGCAAGUCUGCGAUAGACAGUUACUCAACGGUCCAGCUUGUGGUGGGGAGCUUAUUCCACCACUAGCGAGCAAAGAGGCAUGACUCAGAGAAGGGGGAGAUAGUACGAGACAUGACUUUAGGGAAGGGAAGGCCGUCAGAGAAAGAGGAGCAGAGUGGUCUUGCAGGAGUGUGUAUGGUAAUGAACCUCGAGAAAGAGGGAACGGUGCCUGUUGAUGCACCAUCGAUGGGACUAGGAAUGUGUAUUUUAUUUUGGCCACAACUGGUUAGCAAGCUUUGUCCGGAUCGUGUUUUAUUUAUUAUGAAGCAAAACUGCAAAAUUUUGCUUUAAAAAUGUUUUUUUUUUCCCCGUACAUCUUGAAAUCGAACCAGUAAAGGUUUAAAGACCAAAAUGUUUCUAAAGGUGUAACAAAUAGCGAAAAAUGCUUGAGUGCCAGUAAUUUUGACCCCCAUUAUAUUUACUGUGGUUUCCGGGAUUGCAUAAAAAUGGGAAAACUGAGCAUAACAUCUUUUCAAUAAAUGGAAAGCGCAACGAUAAUUAAGGAACAUAAGUCUUGAUCCUGGCAUACAAAGUAAUAAACCAGAUUUGUUUGUUUAAUUAUUAAUCAGUGAUAUAAAUCAUUUAUUUGAAAAACAAAGAAAAAUACAAGAUUGUUGGCCCGUGUUUUGUUUAUUUUUUCCCUGUAUUUUAAUCUCUGUCAUAUCAGGAAUACUUGGAAAAACCAAAGAGAUCAUGUUAUGUCCAAGAUCAAGAGCAGAAUUUUAACCAUUUCCAACCUCAUCCUUUUAAAGUUAUUUUAUGUUUUCAUCAGGAAGCUUGGCUGUCCUUCUGUUCACCAGCUGAAAAGUAGCAAGUUCACAAGAGUGCAUUCUGACAGUAUUUUGGAUUCAUUUAUUUUGCAUACAAGGUUUUGUGUACAUACCCCCCAAAAAUAAAUAAAUGAAUAAUACAUACUA